rnacentral:rRNA from 1 species
GGAGUUAGCCGGUGCUUCUUCUGUGAGUGAUGUCCUUCCUGCCGGCUAUUAACCCGCAGGCCUUCUUCCUCACUGAAAGUGCUUUACAACCCGAAGGCCUUCUUCACACACGCGGCAUGGCUGGAUCAGGGUUGCCCCCAUUGUCCAAUAUUCCCCACUGCUGCCUCCCGUAGGAGUCUGGGCCGUGUCUCAGUCCCAGUGUGGCUGAUCAUCCUCUCAGACCAGCUACGGAUCGUCGCCUUGGUGAGCCGUUACCUCACCAACCAGCUAAUCCGACAUAGGCUCAUCCGAUAGCGCGAGGCCCGAAGGUCCCCCGCUUUCCCCCGUAGGGCGUAUGCGGUAUUAGCCUGGGUUUCCCCAGGUUAUCCCCCGACUACCGGGCAGAUUCCUAUGCAUUACUCACCCGUCCGCCGCUCGCCACCACGGGAGCAAGCUCCCCGUGCUGCCGCUCGACUUGCAUGUGUUAGGCCUGCCGCCAGCGUUCAUCUGAGCCAUGAUCAAACUCUGA